rnacentral:rRNA from 1 species
AGUGAACGCUGGCGGUAGGCCUAACACAUGCAAGUCGAACGGCAGCACAGUAAGAGCUUGCUCUUACGGGUGGCGAGUGGCGGACGGGUGAGGAAUACAUCGGAAUCUACUUUUUCGUGGGGGAUAACGUAGGGAAACUUACGCUAAUACCGCAUACGACCUACGGGUGAAAGCAGGGGAUCUUCGGACCUUGCGCGAUUGAAUGAGCCGAUGUCGGAUUAGCUAGUUGGCGGGGUAAAGGCCCACCAAGGCGACGAUCCGUAGCUGGUCUGAGAGGAUGAUCAGACACACUGGAACUGGAACACGGUCCAGACUCCUACGGGGGGCAGCAGUGGGGAAUAUUGGACAAUGGGCGCAAGCCUGAUCCAGCCAUACCGCGUGGGUGAAGAAGGCCUUCGGGUUGUAAAGCCCUUUUGUUGGGAAAGAAAAGCAGCAGGUUAAUACCCCGCUGUUCUGACGGUACCCAAAGAAUAAGCACCGGCUAACUUCGUG